GGUGAGAUGGCCGAGCGGUCUAAGGCGCCAGACUAAGGAUCCACUUCAUUGAAGUACAACUUGUGAUAAUGCGAUGUCCCAAUCUGGUCAUUAAUUUGGCGUGGGUUCGAAUCCCACUCUCAUCA